GUGCUCCCUUCAGCAGCACAUAUACUAAAAUUGGAUGAUACAGAGGAGAUUAGCAGGGCCCCUGCACAAAAACUGUAUGCUCUAAGUUUUGAGACACAGUGAAUCAGC
ensembl:snRNA U6 U6 spliceosomal RNA